rnacentral:rRNA from 1 species
UACGUAGGGAGCAAGCGUUGUUCGGAUUUACUGGGCGUAAAGGGCGCGUAGGCGGCGCGGUAAGUCACUUGUGAAAUCUCUGAGCUUAACUCAGAACGGCCAAGUGAUACUGCAGUGCUAGAGUGCAGAAAGGGCAAUCGGAAUUCUUGGUGUAGCGGUGAAAUGCGUAGAUAUCAAGAGGAACACCUGAGGCGAAGGCGGGUUGCUAGGCUGACACUGACGCUCAAGCGCGAAAGCCAGGGGAGCAAACGGG